GACGAACGCUGGCGGCGUGCUUAACACAUGCAAGUCGAGCGGUAAGGCCCUUCGGGGUACACGAGCGGCGAACGGGUGAGUAACACGUGGGUGACCUGCCCUCCACUCUGGGAUAAGCCUGGGAAACCGGGUCUAAUACCGGAUAUGACCUCCGCAUGCAUGUGCGGUGGAGGAAAGUUCUGGCGGUGGGGGAUGGGCCCGCGGUCUAUCAGCUUGUUGGUGGGGUGAUGGCCUACCAAGGCGACGACGGAGAGCCGGCCGGAGAGGGUGAUCGGCCACACUGGGACUGAGACACGGCCCAGACUGCUACGGGAGGCAGCCGUGGGGAAUCUUGCGCAAUGGGCGGAAGCCUGACGCAGCAACGCCGCGUGGGGGAUGACGGCCUUCGGGUUGUAAACCUCUUUCGCGAUCGACGAAGCGUACUUCUGGUACGGGUGACGGUAGGUCGAGAAGAAGCACCGGCCAACUACGUG
rnacentral:rRNA from 1 species